rnacentral:precursor_RNA from 1 species
CUAGAGGAUUCUGCUCAUUCCAGGGUGAGGUAGUAAGUUGUAUUGUU